rnacentral:misc_RNA from 1 species
GUAUUGCAUUGCGUUAAACGCGCGCACAUUCCAUAAGACUUCACUACAGUGUAUGUGUAAAAACGCAGAACUACAGGAGGGAGACGGUGUUGUCCCCCAGACCAUAGGACUACAGAGGGUGCACAGGUGUGAGUGGAUGUGUGAACAGAGCGUGCACAUGCCCCCGUUUGAGGACCAGCAACAACUCGUGUCGACAACUCAGUAAUGAUCCUUCCGCAGGUUCACCUACGGAAA